rfam:Aedes albopictus isolate Foshan contig26792, whole genome shotgun sequence.
GGCUCCGUAGCUUGGAAAAAUAAAGCGCCCGUCUAGCGAAUUGGGUAUCGUGGGUUCGAUUCCCACCGGAGCAC